CGGUACCCUGGAGCCAUGUUCACACAGCGCACUCCUGGGAAACACGGGUUGAAUUGACACUGCAACACAGAUGCACAUAUACAUGGCAGGAAUGAUGAAUGAGAAGAACCUGAGGUCAGACCCAUCAACCAGUCACAGCCCUCCUCCAUCUGUUGUGACCAAUCGUGACUGUCCACUGGUUCCAGCUGCUCCGCUAUAAUCAAGUUCAGAGAGAGAGAGAGAGAGAGAAAGAGAGGUGAGUGUGAUAGACUACAGAAUCUGGUAAAACAUGAUAGUCUGUGCCACAGAUACAAACAACAUAAAAAAAGAGCUGGAAAGGUACUAAAUAGGUACUAAAUACUGUACAAAAGAUAGUACAACAGUACGAUAGA